GCAUCGGUGGCUUAGUGGUAGAAUGCUCGCCUGCCACGCGGGCGGCCCGGGUUCGAUUCCCGCCGAUGCA
rnacentral:tRNA from 1 species